rnacentral:rRNA from 1 species
AUUGAACGCUGGCGGCAGGCCUAACACAUGCAAGUCGAGCGGAUGAAGGGAGCUUGCUCCUGGAUUCAGCGGCGGACGGGUGAGUAAUGCCUAGGAAUCUGCCUGGUAGUGGGGUAUAACGUCCUGAAACGGGCGCUAAUACCGCAUACGCCCUGAGGGAGAAAGUGGGGGAUCUUCGGACCUCACGCUAUCAGAUGAGCCUAGGUCGGAUUAGCUAGUUGGUGGGGUAAAGGCCUACCAAGGCGACGAUCCGUAACUGGUCUGAGAGGAUGAUAAGUCACACUGGAACUGAGACACGGUCCAGACUACUACGGGAGGCAGCAGUGGGCAAUAUUGGACAAUGGGCGAAAGCAUGAUACAGCCAUGCCGAGUGUGUGAAGACGGUCUUCGGAUUGUAAAGCACUUUAAGUUGGGAGGAAGGGCAGUAAGUUAAUACCUUGCUGUUUUGACGUUACCAACAGAAUAAGCACCGGCUAACUUCGUG